rfam:Aureobasidium pullulans var. pullulans EXF-150 unplaced genomic scaffold scaffold_32, whole genome shotgun sequence.
GCCGGGGUAGCUCAAUCGGUAGAGCGUGUGGCUCUUAUCAAUUCGAUAAAGUACAACCUCAAGGUCGCGGGUUCGAGCCCCGCCUUCGGCU